GUCAGUUUUCCUUCAUUUAUAAUUCUGUUGUCUGUUACAGCUUUCACAUUUUGGCUGAAGAUGAGCUGCCGGGAGGUGGGAGAGUCGUGACGUGAUCUGGUGACUGAACUUCAGCAUAUAGCAGAUAAGAACUUUGCAUCACGCCAUGUUUGGCCUCCCAGCAGCUUGGCAGGAGAAAGUGUUUGUUUCACAAUACGACAUGCGGCCCACACAGCUUCUAAAAGAGCAGAAAAUUAAAGGAGGAAAAAAAUAUGCAGAUGGUCCCUUUUCCCCACAGGUUCACCUGUAGCAAAGAUGAAUGCAGCGCUGCUGAAUCCUCCCCUCGUCAAGUUUUUAAACUGGGUGAGCAAAUCGAGCGCACCGUCUCUACAACCUGCAAUAAUCUGUGUACGGGGCUCCGCACCCUACGUGAUGUUCCUAAAGAGCUGCAGCCCUGCACACAUAUCAGGACACUUUUCAAGAACAGCUGAGAGGUGUAGGCUACUACUAAGCGAGAUGCACAAUGAGGGACGUCUGCAGUGACUGAGAAAGAGUCUCACCACAUCCUGACAUGAGGAAAAAGACUUCAUUGAAGACUACAAUGAGAAAAACUAUCAGACAGCAGACAGCUGGAUUCAAGUCUGUAGCUGCUGAAUUCAUGGAUGAAUCAUCUGGCACUAGAGAAGAACACCAUCAAACAUCCACGUCAGCUGAUGGAGGUCCAAGAGUCUCACCAAACAACCAACCUACAGAGUGAAGACCUCAAAUCUGAUUGGACGGCCUCCUAUUCAGCCACAUGUGUGAACAAAUGCCUCUAAGUUGAUUUGUUUUCUAAAAUAAAU
ensembl:lncRNA